rnacentral:rRNA from 1 species
CCUACGGGUGGCAGCAGUGGGGAAUAUUGGGCAAUGGGCGCAAGCCUGACCCAGCAACGCCGCGUGAAGGAAGAAGGCUUUCGGGUUGUAAACUUCUUUUUUCAGGGACGAAGCAAGUGACGGUACCUGACGAAUAAGCCACUUCUAACUACGUGCCAGCAGCCGCUGUAAUACGGCGGUGGCAAGCGUUAUCAGGAUGUAUUGGGUGUAAAGGGCGCGUAGGCGGGAGUGCAAGUCAGAUGUGAAAUCUAUGGGCUAAACCCAUAGCCUGCAUUUGAAACUGUAGUUCAUGAGUGCUGGGGAGGCAAGCGGAAUUCCGGGUGUAGCGGUGAAAUGCGUAGAUAUACGGAGGAACACCAGUGGCGAAGGCGGAUUGCUGGACAGUAACUGACGCUGAGGCGCGAAAGCGUGGGGAGCAAACAGGAUUAGAUACCCCAGUAGUC